ACGGGUGAGUAAUGUCUGGGAAACUGCCUGAUGGAGGGGGAUAACUACUGGAAACGGUAGCUAAUACCGCAUAACGUCGCAAGACCAAAGAGGGGGACCUUCGGGCCUCUUGCCAUCAGAUGUGCCCAGAUGGGAUUAGCUAGUAGGUGGGGUAACGGCUCACCUAGGCGACGAUCCCUAGCUGGUCUGAGAGGAUGACCAGCCACACUGGAACUGAGACACGGUCCAGACUCCUACGGGAGGCAGCAGUGGGGAAUAUUGCACAAUGGGCGCAAGCCUGAUGCAGCCAUGCCGCGUGUAUGAAGAAGGCCUUCGGGUUGUAAAGUACUUUCAGCGGGGAGGAAGGUGUUGUGGUUAAUAACCGCAGCAAUUGACGUUACCCGCAGAAGAAGCACCGGCUAACUCCGUGCCAGCAGCCGCGGUAAUACGGAGGGUGCAAGCGUUAAUCGGAAUUACUGGGCGUAAAGCGCACGCAGGCGGUCUGUCAAGUCGGAUGUGAAAUCCCCGGGCUCAACCUGGGAACUGCAUUCGAAACUGGCAGGCUAGAGUCUUGUAGAGGGGGGUAGAAUUCCAGGUGUAGCG
rnacentral:rRNA from 1 species